rnacentral:rRNA from 1 species
UAGGGAAUCUUCGGCAAUGGGGGGAACCCUGACCGAGCAACGCCGAGUGAGUGAAGAAGGUUUUCGGAUCGUAAAGCUCUGUUGUUAAGGAAGAACGAGUGUGAGAAUGGAAAGUUCAUACUGUGACGGUACUUAACCAGAAAGGGACGGCUAACUACGUGCCAGCAGUCGCGGUAAUACGUAGGUCCCGAGCGUUGUCCGGAUUUAUUGGGCGUAAAGCGAGCGCAGGCGGUUAGAUAAGUCUGAAGUUAAAGGCAGUGGCUCAACCAUUGUAGGCUUUGGAAACUGUUUAACUUGAGUGCAGAAGGGGAGAGUGGAAUUCCAUGUGUAGCGGUGAAAUGCGUAGAUAUAUGGAGGAACACCGGUGGCGAAAGCAGCUCUCUGGUCUGUAACUGACGCUGAGGCUCGAAAGCGUGGGGAGCGAACAGG